rnacentral:rRNA from 1 species
GUGGAUGAUGUGGAUUAAUUCGAUGCAACGCGAAGAACCUUACUACCCUUGACAUGUCCGGAACUUGCCAGAGAUGGCUUGGUGCCCGAAAGGGAAUCGGAACACAGGUGCUGCAUGGCUGUCGUCAGCUCGUGUCGUGAGAUGUUGGGUUAAGUCCCGCAACGAGCGCAACCCUUAUCCUUUGUUGCCAGCGGUCCGGCCGGGAACUCAGAGGAGACUGCCAGUGAUAAACUGGAGGAAGGUGGGAUGACGUCAAGUCAUCAUGGCCCUUACGACCAGGGCUACACACGUGCUACAAUGGCGCAUACAAAGAGAAGCGACCUCGCGAGAGCAAGCGGACCUCAUAAAGUGCGUCGUAGUCCGGAUUGGAGUCUGCAACUCGACUCCAUGAAGUCGGAAUCGCUAGUAAUCGUGGAUCAGAAUGCCACGGUGAAUACGUUCCCGGGCCUU